UUGCGGUCCGUUAAUGUAUCCCAUAAUGCAACUGGAGCUGCGUAGGCGUUCGAAGCGUAAUAAGAAACAAGAAAGACAGCGGUCCUCUGUUUACAAGUGGCCAUGUUGGAGCGCUGGAGCAGAACUACACUGCCUGCCAUGAUGUAAGCCACGCCCAGAAAGAAGAGGAGCAACUGGGCCUGUCGCAAAAAUCUCUUCAGUCUGUAGACGGUUUUACCCAUUGUCACAGCUUAGUAAUCAAAGACUUAUGAUAGGGCCAAAAAUAAAGAUGCUCCUGCUGGUCAGGAUCCAUAA